UAGUCUACACAUGUACGUACACUUGUACCU
rnacentral:piRNA from 1 species